rnacentral:rRNA from 1 species
UAUUGGACAAUGGGCGAAAGCCUGAUCCAGCAAUGCCGCGUGAGUGAUGAAGGCCUUAGGGUUGUAAAGCUCUUUUACCCGGGAUGAUAAUGACAGUACCGGGAGAAUAAGCUCCGGCUAACUCCGUGCUAGCAGCCGCGGUAAUACGGAGGGAGCUAGCGUUGUUCGGAAUUACUGGGCGUAAAGCGCACGUAGGCGGCUUUGUAAGUUUGAGGUGAAAGCCUGGAGCUCAACUCCAGAAUUGCCUUUGAUACUGCAUCGCUUGAAUCCAGGAGAGGUGAGUGGAAUUCCGAGUGUAGAGGUGAAAUUCGUAGAUAUUCGGAAGAACACCAGUGGCGAAGGCGGCUCACUGGACUGGUAUUGACGCUGAGGUGCGAAA